GUUGGAGCCGAUAACUCCGUUACAAGCAAGACUAAAUCGUUUGCGACGUAGGGUGUGAUAUUAGAGAGGAAAAAUAAGAGAUCACGUGGAAUACAUUUCGUGUCCGAAGGAGGAAUACAGUUAUAGGAGUAGUUCCGAGAUCGCCAAGGAUGGAUCCAUAAGAAGCAAGGGUAAAUCGUAGCAUGAAUAGAGAUGCAAUCAUGUGAAGAGAUACCAAAGAUUUGAUUUGGGUACAGGUUGAGUUUGUCUGUGAUUCCUAAAUUAAAUACACAAAACUUAUAUCUCAACGAUGCCACGAUGAAGCGUCAGGCACGCGUGAGUAUCAUGCUUUUAGAUUGCAAGGAUAGUCAAGGGACGAACACUUAUCAGGGAUAGUCAUUUGUCCUUGAAAUAUGUAGUUGAUGCAGAAGGGAAUAUUCAUUUGGGAGCUGAUUAGAGAACAAAUUUACGCAAGAUUUCCAACAAAGUUCAUUUGGGGCAAUAACCUGACACAAUGGAGUAAAAGAAAACAAAAAAAUGGAUGAUAAGAAGAAAAAAAACGAAAUGAAUUUGGUAGACUCAGUUGUUCAGGAACUUGAAUCCUCGGUGUGCUAGAUGCAUCUAGCUUAUCAAAAAAAAAAAAAAAAAACUGUACAAUGCUCAUCAUACUGCAUGCAGUAGAAAGGUAUUUUCGUAUGCUGAACAUUUUCGAAGGACCGCGUAGCCCUCUGCAAGACUUAUAGAGAAGCACGUAUUGUACUUGGAUUAUUCCACUGUGACAGUGACAUCAAAUAUUAAAAAUGCGUCGGUUUGGAUUACAAAUGAUUAACCAUAUAA